ensembl:misc_RNA Y_RNA Y RNA
GGCUGGUCUGAUGGUAGCAAGUUAUCUCAAUUGAUGGUUCACAGUCAGUUACAGAUAGAACCCCUUAUUCUACUGUUUUCCCCCUUCUCACUAUGCACUUGGCUAGUCUUUU